GUCGAUUCAGUGACUGGAGAAGUGACAGGCUGGCCCUCUGUGCGAAAUGACAACCCUGGGCGGAAGUCCCCUUUUGCCCAGAAGACUCUGGUCUCCGCUACUCCUGUCUGCUGCCCUCGCGAAGCAAGGCCCAGCCGUCUUCGCGGCGCCCCGCCCCCCGUCUCUCAUUGGCGCCCUCGGGGCACGUGGGGGGGGGGGCAAAGAGGCGUGGAUGCAGUGGCUGGGGCGGGCGGCCGGAGUCCGUAGGUCAUGAGAGGCCCGUGGACUCGGGGUUGGGGCCGCAGGGAUACCAUGGUGCCGGUCCCGUGGCGACGGCGGAGGCCGGAGGAACUGCAGGUUCCGGGGGACGCGAAGCGGGUGUGCAGGAGACUCGAGGCGGCUGGGCAGGAGCGAGGCUGCCCCCCGGUGAAGGUGAGCGCCCCCAUGUCCUGGAGCGGCGAGGGGCUCCCUGACAGCGGCCAGCGGUGGCCACGCACGGGGAUUCCUCACAAUGGUGGAAGGAACUCGGCCCAGCCUUGCCCGAGAUGUAUUGCGGGGGAAUCUGUAAGUGCAUUAACCUUCUCGCUGUGACAUAAAAGACAGACUUGUUCUUAAAUAUUAGAUCCAUAAAACAAAGUUAAUAAAAACGGCAAUUACAUUUCUAAGGAAUGAGGGAUGUAAAUAAAAAGGUGCAGAUUGAUUUAAGCUUUUCUUGGCAUUCUGCUGGGGUGCAAACUGAUUUGUUUCUAGCUUCAGCUUGGAAACAGAAAUGAAAAUACACUUAAAAUUUUUUCUUAACACAGAGUUCAGGGAAGGGAACAGGCCACUGGAUACAUUUAAUAGAGAUCAUUUGAGGACGUCUUGGAGGAAAGCCCCUGACCUCAUUUAAUUAUCCGAAUAGGGAUGGACAUUGUUUUCUCUUUUCCCUGCUUAAGCUUUCUUUCGUGUUCCCGUAAACUUUACAGAAACCACAGAUUUCAGAGGGAGAAACGCAGUAUUCCCACCAUUAAAUCAAAGUUAAAGGAGGCCUAACAUAGCCAGAGUCACAUUCCCCAUCUCCUGUAUCGGGCAGGAUAUCGUAAGGUUGGACACUAGCAUCAUAUCUUUGUUAUUAAUUUUGGACUUACUCUAAGAACAAGUUAAUGUGUCUUUUGAUAACCUCUGUAAUUCUUGGGGUUUUUUUAUUUUUAAAUUUAGAAUUGUAAUAUCACAAUAAAAUGGAAUUACGUUUAAUUGACACAUAGAAACCAGGAGAGAGAGAAGAGAGAGAGAGAGAGAGAGAGAGUGUGUGUGUGUGUGUGUGUGUGUGUGUAUGUGAGUAUUUCUUAGAUUUCCCCCUACAGAUUUUUAGAGAAAUGUAUUGCUCUGUUUCUGAUAAGCAAAAGAUUGAGUCAAUAAAUUAUAAGAUUUUCAGUGGAUAUAUUGCAGGCUACUGUAUUUUCCAGUGAGAAGCAAUGGUUUUGUUUUUAGUGCAGACCUAAGUGUUGGCUAUCACCCGUGUGAACCUCUGGUCCCUGAAGUCAUUGGAGAAAUAGAAACCAAGCUCAGUGUUUGACUUGCUUUGUAAAGGAGAAUUCCUGCGCGUUGUGCUUCAUUCCCUGGUGUAGUCCUUGAACAAGGGCGGAGUCAGACAUCCAGCGGUCGGAACUUACUGUACUUUAGGUUGGUUCGUACAACAGCUGCACCUGCGCUGGAUACAAAUACGUGAUGUUUACCUGGAGAGACACGGCCCCAUUGUGAGUAAAUUGUGUAAGUGCUGGUGACUAGAUGGUGACCUUCCUUGUCCUCGUCCCAUUUCCAUGGAAUGUAUCUCUCAAAUCCCCCCGUCUGUUGGGCAAAUACUUGGAACGUAGUAUGGAUUCUUACUGCUCUAAGAGGUUGUGUUCUGGCAUGAAUGGCUUAAAGAAAAAAAAUUUGGCUCAAACAGCUGAUUGGAUCAUUUUAGCUAAUAUUCUGUUUGAACAACAGUAUCUAUUUGAUUAGGAUUUUUCCUUCCUUUGUAACUCCCCAGGCUUGCCUCUGUUAUGUUUCAUAGGAAAUGAAUCUGUGAGCAGAGAACCUAUAUUGAUAUGUAAAUACAUCAUUUUUUCGUUAGUGCUCGAUAUUCUUUUCAUCUAAAUUUCAGAAGCCGACUUUAAAAAAUCAGUUUCCCUUUAUCUGUAGUCAUUCUCAAUAAAACUUUACCCAGGCUUGGGUGAUUUAAUAUUUACACCCACUGUUUCUAAAAGUCUUAUGUAAAUAAAGAUUGAAAUGUGAAUUUGAAAAGUCACACCUCUUGAUAUUUGAACAGACUAUAGCUGCGUAUAUCUUCUUUUUCUAAUAAUACGGCUAGUUUCUCUCCUAAGCUUUUAAAAUAAUAAGACGCUAUUUUUGUAUUCUGGAACAUCAAAAGGUUCAGUGUUAAAUAAAAAGCAAAUAGUAUUUUUAGAAAUGUGAGAUCCCAGGGAGCAGUGCUUACCAGGAAAUCACCAACAGACAGCAAGUCCGACUUUCAGAAGACUUCAUUAGACACACGACUCCAUCCACAGACGUGUGCCCGUGCACACAAGUGUGCCCCUUCUGUACCACUGUUCCCGUAGUGGAGCCAGGGUGGUGACCUUGGGUCACAGAGAAGCACAGGGUGCACCGGGGAGUCUGUGGGGCCCUGAAGGGAAACGCCCCUUCUUUGGUGCUCCCCGCCUCCCCCCACAACCUCCUUUGUGCCUCGUUUUCUGGUGUGGUUCUGGCUUGGCGGGACCUCACCUGAUCGGCCGGUCCUGCCCUGAGUCCUCAGGCAGCUGUCGCAGCUCGGAGCCCGAGUUUCUGCUGUCAUUCUACUCCUGAGCUCUUGGUUUUUAGCACGAAUCAUUUCUCAUGAAUGCAGGGUCUUGGGUUCUCGCGUAUGCGGGGACUUUUCGGUUGCCCUUCUCCAUCCGCCUUGUCGCCCAGGCUGGCGCGUGGUCUCCUCCCUGUGCGGUCUGUUCUGGCUCCCCUUGCAGCGAUCGCCAUUUGGGCCUUGCCGCGGGGUCUCUGCUGUCGUGCGUGCUGUUCCUUGGAGGCACCUUCUCUUAGCCCUGCUUCGUCCUGCUCGGGUGACCGACGGCUGCAGUGAAAGCGGCCCCUGUCCUUGUGGUGGGACGUGGCGUUCCGUCCUUUGGGGAGUCCACCCUUCCCCAGGCCGGGGUGCCACCUCUCUGCAGCCCCGUCCGGGGCUGUGAACCUGGAGGCAGUGCCAGUGGCCACCAUCGCUGAUGACCUCUCCUUCGUGGGCGGUUCCAGGACUGGGCCACAGCCUGGCCACGACGCCUCCUUUCUCGGGUCAGCUUAGCCCGCUGGGUGCAGGGCCCACGGUGGCCGAGUGGACCGUGGAAACCGUGCCAUCCUUUGCAAAUUCUAAUCCGUUCGAUGAAACCCAAUAGGGCCGUGGAAGGUCUGUAGGGCAGUCAAAUGAAGGUACGUGGUGUGGGGGUGGGGGCACCGUAAGGCAGGAAAUUGUAGGAAAAGCAGAUCUCCCUUGUUCGUUGAGGUGCCGUGUCCUGGCACCAGUUUUCCAAGUGGCAUCCGGUCCCCGUCGCCCUAGCUCCCCAGUGCAUGAGCCCUGCAGGGGCAGGGCCACCUUCAGAUUGUAUUGGGUCUUCAUGAUGGUCGCCUGCCCGGUUUUUCUCAGCUCUGUGCCCCACCUUUGCUCUGCUCUGUGUUGUGGAGACUGUGCUUCUAGACUCCUUGGCUUCUGGUUUCUGACCCUGGACCCUGGAGUCUGGAGGGAGGGUGGGGUGGAAGCCAGGGCACCUCUCUCCCCCCACCUCACCCCCAAGGCAGCCUCUCAGCCCCUCCCUCCAAGAUGCCAGCUCCUGUAGAGUUAGCCCGCUUGCCCCCAGCUCCUGCCAGGUGGCACGGGCUUCCGGGCUCUGUGGUCAUUUUGCUUCCGCUUGUGUUCCGUGCCGGGGCCUGUGGCUGUCUGCGUGGGGGCAUGGGCUUGCCUUGACCUCCCCUGCGGGGCUUCUCUGCUCUUCCGUGAGCGGUUGAAGCCAUAUUAAAUUCCCUGCGUGAAAUACCUGCAUUCGUUUCUGAACUGUAUCCUACCUAAUUGCCUGAAGAGUAGACCAGUCCUCUUGGACAAAAAAAAAAAAGAUUGCAGUUUUAAACACGGGCCUCUGGGUCUCUGUUGCCCACCCUCAGGCCUCAGGGUGUGGUUCAGCAAGCGUGGCAUUUUGCAGCACGGGCAGAGCCUGCCCCAGCCCGGAGCUGCCUGGGCGAUGUGGUGAGCCCGGGCAUUAGAUCGAAAGAGUCAGGCCCUUUAAUAUUGCUCAUCACUGGUGGUGUUUGUUCUGUUAUCUGGGGUGAGCUGGGUUUUAGUACCUAAACUGGUGCUGAAUUGCCACAUAAAAGCCGAUGUACAAACCACGAUGUUUUGGUUUUAUGGAUCCCCCCCCACACACACACCCCCCAACAAGUUGAUUUUAGAUAACAGCCUGUUCAUUAGUGAUGAGGGCAGGUACUAAGGGGAGUAGACCUAAUAAGCCUCUGUGCUGUUCCCAGGCUGACACUGAAGUCCCUUGCCUGACAGUGUAGGGGAAGGGCGGGAGAAGGAGAGGCGGGCGGGGCGUGGGGUGUGUGGUCCAGCCUGUUGUCCAGCCUCCCGGCUGCAGCAGCCCAAGUAUGGUUACUCUGAUUCUGAAUGGAUAUUCUUGUUUUCUUUGUACUUUUUAUCUCCAAAUGCGUGACCUUUAAAAUAUUUGUUUUGUGUUAUUUACUCACCUGUCUGAUUGGUAAGUGCUUCCUACAUCUGUGGCAUCUCUAAAUACUGGGCUGAGACAGAAACCAACCCAGGGCCCAGGGUGCAGAGAGCCUGCCUUUCUCCUGGCCUGCGUCGCAGCAGGAGGAUGGCUGUGGCCAGGCUUAGUGGUCCAGGCGUCUAGCGGGGACGAGGCCGGGAUGAAAACGUGGUGUUCUGACGCAGACGAAGGAUGAUCGAUGAGCAGCUGUUUGCUCUUUGUGCCUCGUUUCAGCACUAGCUGCUUCUGGUCGGUCCUUCAUUCUUAUGUCCUGAGAGAGGAAAACACAAUCAGGUGGGUUCAAGGGAAAUUUCAUCGAUUAUUCCGUGAGAAUCAAAUCAUGCUUGUGCAUUUCCCCAGCUUGGCCAAGGAUGCCAGAGUUUGUUGAACCUCGUGCAUUCAUGCUUGAGGAGAACGGGGUCCAACAUGGUGGGCGGGCAGGCGGGCUCCAGCGGUCACCGCAGCCCGCCCCUCCGCCCGCUCCUCUCGGCUGGUCUUUGUGUGUGUUUACAGCCCGCGUGCCAGCCUCACCAGCCCCCCAACCCCGCACAUGGCCACAGACAUCAGCUCUCACCUGCUGAGAGGUGCUGCAGUGAGUGAGUGAGUGAGUGAGAGAGAGGUGUCCUUGUGGACAUCACUCCCAGAUGCCAGGAGAGCGUCUGGGCUCAGACACAGCGCUGAAUUAUUCAAACUGGAUGAACACGCUGGCUGAGAAGAGAGUUUGGCUGUGUCAGUACAGCCAAGUGUGAAUCCCAGAACAGAUGAGUUUGGAUAGACUUCUUACCAAAUCUUCAGAUUUAGCUUCUGACAGUAAAUGUUUUCUCUAGAAUACAGCAACCAGGAAAAUUGUUUUUUUGUUUUUUUAAUUUUUUUUAACGUUUAUUUAUUUUUGAGACAGAGAGAGACAGAGCAUGAACAGGGAGGGGCAGAGAGAGAGGGAGACACAGAAUGUGAAAUGGGCUCCAGGCUCUGAGCUGUCAGCACAGAGCCCGACGCGGGGCUCGAACCCACGGACCGUGAGAUCGUGACCUGAGCCGAAGUCGGACGCCCAACCGACUGAGCCACCCAGGCGCCCCUGUUUUGUUUUUUUUAACUAUGUUAUUGAGAUCAGAGCCUUCAGAUAACUAGAAAAACCAAACAAACAUUUCUUUCUUGCAAAUAAAAUAAGUUAAACUGUGAGGAGAUGGUGAAUGGAUUGAAAACACUUUAAGAAAGAUGUAAUUUAGACUUGCUAGGGGCAUGUUAGGUGCGCUGAUGCAAAUGUAUCCACCUUCUGGUACAGAUAAAAGCAUGAAAUGCGUAGUUAACGUGUAAUAAGUGAAGAGAGAGAAAACAAAAGGAGAACAAUAGAUACACAUCCCUGGUGGCAGUUACUAAGUCCCCACCUUUGUUGAGUUUGGUCCUAGAGUAGGCCGGGGGGACUGGGGGGUGGGGAGGCUGGGGGACUAGAAUUCUGAUGUCCAGAGGCAGAUAGAUGUGACUUUGGCCAGUGGAGGUGUGGGAGCUAGAACCUGGACCCUUGCCUAAAGUUCCGAGCCUGGAAGAUCUACUUGUCCCUUAAGGGGACUAGAAAUUAAAACACCAGGCCAUAAACGGGUGUCUGGGCCCCAGGCUGGUUCUCUUUCUCAGUGGUACAAGAACCAAAAGCAAAGCAUGAACAUAGAAAUAGAUACAGACUCUCGAAGUCCAUUAAGGCCCUGGAUAGUGGCAAAUGCAGAAUCGUCCUGCAGGCACACCUCCACCAUCCAGAGCACACAGGCUGCAGAGGUCAGACAGUCUGCACUGAGGAUGCCAGAACAAUUGUCAGAACAAUACAAAUGACACCCAUAGAUCUAUAGCUGGGGUGAGGGGGGUGUUGGGGACACAUCAGGAAUUAUAACGAGAAUACAAACCCCCAAGACUCUGAAAUAGAAAAGAACUUGAAAUUUGCCAUAAGACUGAUUGUUUUAAAUUUAAAAAUGAUUAAAGAGGAAAUAGAGCCAUAAUCAAAGGUGAGUAUAGUGUAAAACGAGAAUUGGAAGGUUGAAAAAACUAACCUAAAAGUGAGUGACAUGGCCACUGAAGUUAGAUGUAGUUAAAGACAGAAUUCGUGAACUAGCUUUGUCUGGAGAAGUCAUCCAAAGCACCUCAGGAGAUUAUAAAGAGACAGAAAGUAUAGAAGGUGUGAUGCAGAGUCUGAGGAAAGAAUGGAAACCCAAUCAUGAAAUCCAGAAGGAAGGAGUUUAGAGAAGAGGAGGAAAAAAUAAUGAAAUGACCCGACUUGAAAAGAUUCAUGGCUUUUGGAAAGAUAGUAGCUGAGAAUUUUCCAGAAUUAAAGGAAAGACAUGUGUCGCCAGACAGUCUUGAAGCAAAAGAACAAGGUGACGAAGGUCACCUGUCAGAUGUCAAGAUCCAUUACAGAGUGAUAAGGGUUAAGACAGUGCUGGCCCAGGGAUAGAGAAAUAGACCAGUGAGAUAAAAGGGAGAGCGUUAAACUUGCAUAUACGGCAACUGACAACAGUGUAGAGACUCAACGGCAAGUCAGGCGGGAAGGACAAGGUCUCUCAACUGUGCUAACUUACGUGGCCAUCUACAUGAGGAAAGGUAAGAGCAGAUCUCUGCCUCACAGAAAUCAAUCCUGGGAGGUGGGGGGAAGGUUAAAGACCCUAAAUGUCCACACAGAAUUGUACAAUCUAACAAACUCACAGGGGAAGGACUGGUAUAUUUGGCUAUGAACAUAAGCUACGUCGCAUGCCAAAAUCCCUCCACACUGUUGAAGAAGAUCCCAUAAAGCAGGGAAGACAUUUGUGACAUGCCAAACAGAGACUCGCAGAUAAAUGGACAAAGUGUAUGAAUUGGCAAUUGAGAGAAGAGGAAACCCAAUUAGCCAGUAAACAUAAACAGAUGUUAAGCCUUGCUAGUAAUUAAGGGUAUCAAAUUUAAGCACCAAAUUGGCAAAUAAUAACAACGAUAAUAGCAAACCUCAGAAGUAUGGAGAAGGGAAUGGGAUGUCCAUUCCGCUAGUCCUCCUCCCCUGACUUCGGUCCUACCUCCUUACCCUUUCCCCUGGCUUAGAUGGGAAGGUUUCCCAAACUUGAUCCCUGUCGAGAUGAUCGGUAGGAGACUGAUCAGGAAAGUUGUUCCGAGUCACUCAUUAGAAGCCGACGACAGAAGUGAGGGCGGGGUGUGGGGUGAAAGGCUCUGCCCACCUCAUUCGAGGCCGUGCACGUUGACACAGUGAAAGGGAGAGCAGAUCCCUGCUAGGGAGGGUGGUGGGCAUUCCCUGUGACCCAGAAGAUUCUUUCCUGGGAGGAAUGCACACAAGGUAAUUGUAGUUGCAUUGUUUGCCGAGCAAACAGCCAGAAACCUGACUGUCCUGUGGGACAGUGGGUAGGUGAGUUUGGGUAUAUGAAUUUGACAAAGUAUCACAGUAAAAAUGGAUGAACUUAAGGAAACUACAGAAGAAUGUGUAUAGAAUGAUGCCAUUUAGAUACAAUUUUAAACUUGUAAAACAUGGAUAUUAACUGAAAGAAGACAUUCCUGAGAAUGAGAAACUUCAGGUUCAGGAUGACGAGUUCGUUUCUCCUUAGGGAGUGAGGGCUCAGGAUGUACAGGGUGUUCAAGUUGUAUCUGUCAUGCCCUGUCUCCCAAGCCAUGUGGUGUUUCGUGAGGGUGGGUCUGUUUGUGUCUAUACCUUUCUUGUGUUCCUGAAAUCAUGGUGGGUAGGCCUUGCGCAUGACCUGUCAGCACAUCUCUCAUGGAGCUGCUUAGGAGGCAGGGAGGGGUCAUGCUUUGGCCACAGACCUCUCGGUGGUGAAAACAGACACCAGGAGACUUUAGAAUAGUGUCUUUGACACGCUCAGAGGACAGGUCCUUUGUGGACAUGUGGGCUGGCUGUACUAAGCACGAGGCUAGGAUGGCCAGCGCAGCGGGGAUGGCAGAAGAGACAAUGUAAACAGACCAGUAACAGUGAAACAAAUUGGGAAAGUUAGCAAAAAGCUACCAUCGCAGAUGGCUUCUUAGGUUAAAAAAGUCCUACUUGAAGUAACAGAAGCAUGAGUUAACAUUAGAAAACCUACUGCAUUGAUCAGAGGAGAGAAACCAACGAUCAUCCAAAUCUAAAUAAAUGCAGGCUCCAGAUCCCACUGAUGGGAAGAACUCAGCAAACCAGAACUAGAAGUGUCUAUCCUGGGAAGGUUUAGGGUUCGUCACACUGGGUGGAAGCAUUUCCGUUGAUGAAGAGGGAAACACAAGUUUGCUGCUGUCGCUCGCUCCCUGACUACCCAGGGAGGGGUAAUGCUUCCAUUUUGGACACCGUGAGAUGGGAGAAAAGAAGCAGUGGUGUAACAAUUGGAAAGGAAAAGAUAAGUUUUUAUUUCAGAUGAUACAAUUACCCACAUAGGAGAUCCAAGAGAAGUCACAGAUAAAGUGCUAAAACUGAUACUCAUCGCACUUGUUGGAUAGAAGAUGAACACUCAAACAGGAUAGAUGAAUGGAUAGAGAAGCUGUAGACACACUCCAUGGAAUGUUACCCAGCCAUAAAAAAGAAUGAACUUCUGCCAUUUGCAACAACGUGGAUAAACCUCAGGGGUGUUACGCUGAGUGGGGUAAGUCAGAAAGAGACAUACCGUGCAGUCCCACUACCGCGUCGGAUCUUUUAUUUAAAAACAAAAGCGGCUAAUACAUACUGAGAACAGGCUGGUGGAUGCCCAGGGUAGGGAGCUGGAGAAAUGGGUGAAAGGGAUCAAAAGGUGAAAUGGAAACAAAAAUUUUAAAAGACAGCAACAGCAGCAGCAGCGGGUAAGUGGAUUCUUUAAAGUCCUCAGACUCCUCACAAGGCAGCCUGCUUGAGAUCAGAGCAUCCCCUCGAGGUGUCAGAUGCCCCUUCCCUAGAGCCCAUGCCCGUGAGCUUGAGAGAAAACAAUUUUAUGAUGAUAGCCGGAUUUUGGAGAGUCUGUCCUUAGUGCCUGCUUUUGAAGUCCACGAAAGCUGUGUGUACAGUUUUGUUUUUAGCUUUAAACUCAAGGCUUUUCCUAUAAUGUACCUUCCUCCACAUUCCCUAUUUUUUUUAAUGUUUAUUAUUUUUGAGAGCAAGAGAAACAGAGUGUGAGCAGAGGAGGGGCAGAGAGAGAGGGGGACACAGAAUCAAAAGCAGCUCCAGGCUCCAAGCUCCAAGCUGUCAGCACAGAGCCCAACAGGGGCUUGAACUCAGAAACAGUGAGAGAUCAUGACCUGAGCUGAAGUCGGACACCUAGCCACCCAAGCCACCCAGGCGCCCCCCUCCAUAUUCCCUAUUUGUAAAAUACGGUCUGUCUCGAGCUCAGCAAUGUUCCUCUGUGUUCCCCUCAGCCCCGUUCCCCAUGGACGUGAGUACCGUGAGUCUCCUUGCUCUGGCAGGUGGAGCAGCCUCUGCCUGUUCAGUCUCCAUCUUCUUUUCCCCAGCAGGAGCCCCUGACUCGGCCUCGGAAGGGGGAGGAGGUUGUGGAACGCCACCCCGACUUCAGUUCUGCCCACGUGUCCUUUCCCCCUGGUCUAAGUGCACUGCUUCCCAAACUUGAUCCUGUCACAGACAGUCGGUGGGGAGGAUUAUAAACCGUUUGCUCAUUACUGUUCUGAGUUGAUCAUUAGAAGCUGUUGCUGAGUACUGCUGAGUACUACUGAGUACUGCUGAGUGCUGAGCUCUGUUCCUAUUGCCCACUCCCACCCCCUGCAAGGGUCUUCAUUGGGUAGGCCAGGGCGCGUUCCAACGCCUGAGAGCUCUGGAAAAGCUGGAGCAGAGGCAGAACGUGAUUUCAGGAAUCGGGGCUUCUUUGCCUUCAUGUGGGCCCCACUGUCCUCAACGACUCAGACUCAUACUGGCACUUUAACUUCGUAAGGAGGUGGAAAGUUCAAAUACAGCAUUCCUGAAUUUCUUAGCAGUUCGUGCUGGGACCUGGUGGGAUGAGGGAGAGCUCACUCCUGGGCGUGCGCCUCCCUGCUGCUCAGUGCAGGCUCUGUCCUGCACGACACAGGGCCCGGGGCACACUGGAAGGGCACGUCCAGGUUCCACCCUCAUCCCCUCCCACCUCACCAUACCCCUCUCCAGCAAACAAGGGUGCUGUAGUGUGGUAGUGCUGUGGUCUGUCCUCAGCAGAAUGUACCUGCAGAAAAGGCAGUCCCAGGCCCAGGAAAUAGGCUCUGGAAGCGGAGCAGGGGUGGGAACAUCCCGUUGGCCCCGUGGAUUCCUUACCCCAUGGAGAGGUAUAGCCAGGAUGGGCUGGGGAGGUUCCUCUGGAACAUGAGGCCCAAGGUGGUGGGUACACUGUUAAGGAAGCUUGGAUGGAGGGAGAGAGAGAGAGAAACUCUUAGCAGUAAUAAUUAGGAAACAAAUCACACUCGUAUUAUUUCUUCUGGAUGUGAGAAGCAUCAAGCCCUUGGAUGACUAGAAGGACAGAACAAGAACUUCUUAAAGAGUAAAAUCUGUUCCACUCUGAGGAGACGGUGAAGUGCAUUAAAAGGCAAGUUAGCACUUUAAGAAACGAUUUAGGCUUCCUAAAGUCUGGAUUUGACUUACUGUCCAAUAUCCUUUAAAUUCAACCUGAAGGAUGCCCUUCAGUAUUUCUUGUAGGGUAGGUCUAGCUGCAACAGAUUUUCUCUGUUUAUCCAGAGAUGUUUACAUAGCCCAUUCAUUUCUGCAGGAUAGUUUGGCUGGAUAUAGAAUUCUUGAUUGACGGUCUUUUAGCACUUUGAAUACACACUGUCACUGCCUUCUGACUUCUGUAUUUCUGAUGAGAAGUCAGCUGUUAACUUUCUGGAGGGUCCCUCUCCCUCUCUGCCUUCAGGAGGAUUUGAGUUUUGACAGUGUUAUUCUGCUGUGUCCAAGUCUGGACGUCUUUGGGUCUGAGGCCCUCCCAAUAUUAGAAACGAAUAAAAGCUCUCUUCUAAAACAUCUCUCUCUUGGUGGAAAUACAUUGGAGUUGUAUUUUAUCAAAAGUGGUAUAUUCCCCCUGUUUCUUAUAAGAUUACUUUUUAAGCCCAGUCAGGCCAUAAGGUGUGGUCAGUCAGCAUGAGACUCACAGGUAAGGCACAACACCCUCUUCCUGCCUGUCACGUUGGAGACUUAGCACCCAGAUCUCCCCUGUCAGCCACAGGGUGUUGCAGAGUCAGAGGACUAGGACCUUGCUUCUAGAUUGGUGAUAGGACAGGCUCCUUUUUGGGUGUACCUGUGGCUCUAUGCUCCAAGAGGGACAUUGACCAAGUGGAACGAAUUGAGGAGAGGGAAUGGAACGAAGCAGGAACUCCGAGCAUUGGUGAAAGGCUUAAAGGAGCAGUUUCUGUGUUUAAGAUUCUGGACUCAGUUGGGCGCCUGGGUGGCUCAGUCGGGUUGGGCAUCCGACUUCAGCUCAGGUCAUGAUCUCGCAGUCCGUGAGUUCGAGCCCCGCGUCAGGCUCUGGGCUGAUGGCUCAGAGCCUGGAGCCUGCUUCCGAUUCUGUGUCUCCGUCUCUCUCUGCCCCUCCCCCGUUCAUGCUCUGUCUCUCUCUGUCUCAAAAAUAAAUAAACGUUAAAAAAAAAUUUAAGAUUCUGGACUCGGCCUUCAUAUUGAUGUGGCUCCGUCUGUCUCAUUGUCCCGAGUCUUGUCCAUUCUGCCUCCAACACAUCUUCAGAUAACCCCAUCCAGUGGAAAGGGGGCGGCUGGGGGCUGGAGGGAGACCUCUCAGCAAAAUAUUUUUUUAAAAAAAUUUUGGUAUUUGGUGGUGCUAUUGGCAGCAGUAAUGAUGAUAUGAUGAUAUGAUGAUGAUGAUGAUGAUGAUGAUGAUGGUGAAUUAAAGAGCCUGAUCUAGUCCCCUCCCCCCGGGAUGUCCCUCCCUCAAGAGAGGCCCCAUCUUCCCUGGAGUCUUGCCUCCUGGCCCUGUCCACUGCACUCCCUCUCCCAGAGCAUCUCAGAGUGAGUUUCCCAAGCUCUGUGUGACCCCAUCUCUGCCACUUCCUGUGCCUGGGGCAGUGCUUCCUCGCCCAGGCUCCUGCUGCUGAGCGGCUCAGGACAAGAGCUUCCUGGCCAGAGAAGUUGGGGAAGCGCUAUGUCCUUUCCCCACCUUUUGGAGAGUUGAUGGGUAGUAGGUGAUUAAAGAGCCCAAGAACCACAGUAAAGACUCUUGUUUAAAUGUCCUUUUAUAAAGGGAUGCUUGUUACACAUGCAGUGCAGAGGCUAUUUUGGGAAACAGAGGCCUGUUGAAUAAAUUCAACACCUAUAAAUUUCACAAUCUGGGCACAGCAUGGCAUUCCAGAUAGAUCCCCUGUCCCUGCCUGUGUGUGCUGUGAACCCUAGCUUCAGUCAUCGCAGAUGACUUCCCUGGUUCUGGGACAUUCUUUUUUAUUUUUUUUAUUUUUAAUUUUUUUUUUAAUGUUUAGUUUUGAGAGAGAGAGAGAGAGAGAGAGAGAGAGCGAGCGAGCACGAGCGGGGGAGGGGCAGAGAAAGAGGGAGACACAGAAUCCGAAGCAGGCUCCAGGCUCUGAGCUGUCAGCACAGAGCCUGACGAGGGCUUGAACUCAUGGACUGCAAGAUCAUGAUCUGAGCUGAAGUCAGAUGCUUAACCAACUGUGCCACCCAGGCACUCCUGGUUCUGGAACAUUCUGAUCUGUUCUCACUGCCAGUGAGCCCUUUCACCUUGUAAGAUUGUGUUCUGCCUUCUUGGUCCACUAAAAUACCUGUCCUGUGUAAAGCCUUUGCUGACUGCUCCUUGGGUAGAAUCUGAGAUCUCCAGAGCAUCUUAUUCCAAUCUGCCGGGAUGAUCCAUCCUUGUGAAACAUGCUGACAAGCCUGGGUGCCACUUCCCCUGCCGUGUGCCAGUCCCAGGUCUUUCGUGUUGGGUCCCUGUGGCUCAGGGCAGUACAUACCUUCGAGGAAAUGGACACCAUCGUGGACCAGACCACUUUGUCCCCUCCACUGCCUGGCCCAGCCCACCCUUCCUGGCCUCCACAAACCCAAGGAGCCACUGGCAUCGUGAUGUGGUCUUGGAGAGCAGGGCUCCCCUGCCAGCUGCUGUCAUUGGGCCACGGAUCCACACUGCUCUCUGCUGGGAUGGUGACCAACUGGGACGAAGGUUUCUAGACUCUGGACAAGACCUCUCACUUCACACAGUGUCGGGCCACCUGUCUGCCCCUAGCCAUCUGGUCCUUCCCAGUUAUUUCUGUGGGCAAAGGCGAGGAGGCCUCAGGUGGGAUGGGCAGAAGCCCUGGACUGUUACCAACUGGGGUUACUUCCCCCGACAGGAACCACUACAGCUUCUCUGUGUUGGGUUCCUAUUCAGUAUUUAGUCAACAUCGUUUGAAAAAAUUCUAUUUCACGGGAUGCCUGGUUGGCUCAGUCAGUUGAGCGUCCAACUCUUGACUUCGGCUCAGGUCAUGAUCUCACAGUAUAGGAGCUCGAGCCCCGCGCCGGGCUCUGUGCUGCUGACAGUGUGGAGCCUGCUGUGAAUCCUCGGUCUCCCUCUCUCUCUGCCCCUCCCCUGCUCGCACUCUAUUGCUCUCUCUCAAAUAAAUAAACAUAAAAAAAUAAUUCUAUUUUAUGAAUAUAUAAGUUAUAUUUUCAGUCUCUUUGUUUUCCUUCAUAGCAUGUAGGAAAGAAGAAAAAUGUUUAUUUGAGAACAUUCUAUGUAACAGGCACCGUAGGAAGUGCCCUAAAUAUGUUUUAUUAUAUGUUCUGGAUACUCUGUAAAUGUAGAUUCACCUCAGAAAUAAAACAUUCGUACAAGUGUGCGCCCUGUCGUUCUAAACGCAGUGCUUUGUGUCAGUGGACAGACAGCCACAGCAAAUUACUUCCCACGGUGUACUUUUGUGUCAUCGUAGGGACAUCUUAGCCACACGGAGAACUAUUAGAAGGUGCAAGCGGGAAGGCUCCGGUCUGGGUUCCAGCCAUCCACGUGCCAGCGAGUGUCGUGUCCUGGAUGGACGUGGGCGCCCACCUGUUCACGCUGCAGCCCGUUGUCCUCUCGCUCGGGUGACCCCCGUGCCCACCACGCCAGAGCCAGGAGGACCCCGUCCCCUCAGAGGAGCCUUCCGACCGUUGUUACCUGCCACAGCCUCCUUUCAGAUGUAUCGUUUGCAUCAUGUCAAAGUUAAAAAAAGAUUCAGUGUCAGAUUCCCUAUGAGGUUUGAGGGCCCAGUGGCUCAUGGAGCUUCGUCCGGGCUCUUCCGUCAGGCUUUCCAGUUGUUUUUUGGGUGUGUCCAGGGCUGCUUGUGCUCUUUUUUAACUAAAAGACUUAUUUUUAUAUUUAAAAUACUCUAUAAUCUUAACCUGGAUUUUACUAAAUGCUGGUAUCCAAUCUGUUCCAUGUAAUUCCCCAACCGAAGUUGUCAGGCACAGGGCUUCCUUUAUAUUAAAGUGAAAUUUCUUAUU